CAGAGGAGAUAGAGCUUCUGCCUGAAGUUGAGCUGUGCUUCAAGGCUUGUCCUCCAGAGGACCAGCAGAUCCAAGGGGAGGUCCCAGACGAGGAGCUUGAUGGCACGGCUCCGUGAGGGCAUCUCCAGGGAGAGGCCCCUCCCCCGCCUGCUGGCCCCUCCUACCAGUUAGAUGCGCUGGAGACUCCGCUUCACCCUUCCCGCCUCGUGCCCACCCAUCUCCCUGGGCCGCCAAGAGCGGGCCGCCCUGGGCCGCAGAGAACCAGCCCUGCAGGGCUCCAGACACGGGAGGAAAUCGUCAGGGCAGACCCUCUCCUGCCCCGCUUAGUGGGGACUUUGCAGAUGUGGCUCUCCUUGGGGAGGAUCCCCUCGCGCUGCCAGCUGAGUGGGUGCUGGACAUUCUGCCAGGGUCCACAGACCUGGCCCUCCCCGCCGGGCUCUGCCAUCUCUCCCGGUGACAGGCCAAACCUGACGCCACGCCCUGGCCGGACUCUCCCGCCGAUUUCCACCCUACGUCACCCUGGCGUGGGCAGCACCACCCCGGUGUCAGCAGAAACUGGCUGAGGCCAGCAGAGCCCAGGCCCCCCACAUCCAUCUGAAGCAAAAGCCAGUGGGGGAGUGGCUGACACCGGUGACACCACACGCCCUUCCCUGGAACCCAGAGGGACACACUGCCAGAGCCUGUCAUGUCAGCUAGGAACAAUGGCUAGGAUGGACCCCACCCUGCCCCUCUGCUUGUGCGUCCCCCCAAUAAACCCUCUUUCGUAAGCGUC